CUAACGUAGAUUGAACGGCAUUAACGUAGAUUGAACGGCACUAACGUAGAUUGAACGGCACUAACGUAGAUUGAACGGCAUUAACGUAGAUUGAACGGCACUAAUGUAUUUUGAUAAAU
rnacentral:sRNA from 1 species